rnacentral:rRNA from 1 species
UGAUACAGAGGGUGCAAGCGUUAANCGGAAUUACUGGGCGUAAAGCGCACGCAGGCGGUUGGUUAAGUCAGAUGUGAAAGCCCCCGGGCUCAACCUGGGAAUUGCAUUUGAAACUGGCCAACUAGAGUAUGUGAGAGGGGGGUAGAAUUCCAAGUGUAGCGGUGAAAUGCGUAGAGAUUUGGAGGAAUACCAGUGGCGAAGGCGGCCCCCUGGCACAAUACUGACGCUCAGGUGCGAAAGCGUGGGGAGCAAACAGGAUUAGAUACCCUGGUAGUCCACGCCGUAAACGAUGUCUACUAGCUGUUCGUGGUCUUGUACUGUGAGUAGCGCAGCUAACGCACUAAGUAGACCGCCUGGGGAGUACGGUCGCAAGAUUAAAACUCAAAUGAAUUGACGGGGGCCCGCACAAGCGGUGGAGCAUGUGGUUUAAUUCGACGCAACGCGAAGAACCUUACCUACUCUUGACAUCUAGCGAAGACUGCAGAGAUGCGGUUGUGCC